AAGUAGUGGAGGUCCUGGAAACCUCGGUCUACGCCGAAGACCUGGAGAAGGCCCGGGCCUUCUACGAGGGGGUCCUGGGCCUUCCCUGUUUUC
rnacentral:tRNA from 1 species